UGCCCAGCAACUCCUAUCCCUACCUCCUCGUGGUACUGGCCGGGGUACGAGUAACCUUGGGGAAGAUCGGGUAACCAACCCCCGGUGGGAACUUUGUUCGUAUGCUGACAGGAAAGG
rnacentral:ribozyme from 1 species